UGAGGAAUAUUGCGCAAUGGGCGAAAGCCUGACGCAGCGACGCCGCGUGGGGGAUGAAGGUCUUCGGAUUGUAAACCCCUUUCGGGAGGGAAGAUGGCGCGGGGUAACCCGCGCGGACGGUACCUCCAGAAGCAGCCACGGCUAACUUCGUGCCAGCAGCCGCGGUAAUACGAAGGUGGCAAGCGUUGUUCGGAUUUACUGGGCGUACAGCGACCGUAGGCGGUGAGGUCAGCCCUGUGGGAAAUCUUCCGGCUCAACCGGGAAAGUUCGCAGGGUACUGCCUCGCUAGAGGACGGGAGAGGAGCGCGGAAUUCCCGGUGUAGCGGUGAAAUGCGUAGAGAUCGGGAGGAAGGCCGGUGGCGAAGGCGGCGCUCUGGAACGUCCCUGACGCUGAGGGUCGAAAGCGUGGGGAGCAAACAGGAUUAGAUACCCCCGUAGUCC
rnacentral:rRNA from 1 species